rnacentral:rRNA from 1 species
UGCAGUCGAGCGAAUGGAUUAAGAGCUUGCUCUUAUGAAGUUAGCGGCGGACGGGUGAGUAACACGUGGGUAACCUGCCCAUAAGACUGGGAUAACUCCGGGAAACCGGGGCUAAUACCGGAUAACAUUUUGAACCGCAUGGUUCGAAAUUGAAAGGCGGCUUCGGCUGUCACUUAUGGAUGGACCCGCGUCGCAUUAGCUAGUUGGUGAGGUAACGGCUCACCAAGGCAACGAUGCGUAGCCGACCUGAGAGGGUGAUCGGCCACACUGGGACUGAGACACGGCCCAGACUCCUACGGGAGGCAGCAGUAGGGAAUCUUCCGCAAUGGACGAAAGUCUGACGGAGCAACGCCGCGUGAGUGAUGAAGGCUUUCGGGUCGUAAAACUCUGUUGUUAGGGAAGAACAAGUGCUAGUUGAAUAAGCUGGCACCUUGACGGUACCUAACCAGAAAGCCACGGCUAACUACGUGCCAGCAGCCGCGGUAAUACGUAGGUGGCAAGCGUUAUCCGGAAUUAUUGGGCGUAAAGCGCGCGCAGGUGGUUUCUUAAGUCUGAUGUGAAAGCCCACGGCUCAACCGUGGAGGGUCAUUGGAAACUGGGAGACUUGAGUGCAGAAGAGGAAAGUGGAAUUCCAUGUGUAGCGGUGAAAUGCGUAGAGAUAUGGAGGAACACCAGUGGCGAAGGCGACUUUCUGGUCUGUAACUGACACUGAGGCGCGAAAGCGUGGGGA